GACGAACGCUGGCGGCGUGCCUAAUACAUGCAAGUAGAACGCACAGUUUAUACCGUAGCUUGCUACACCAUAGACUGUGAGUUGCGAACGGGUGAGUAACGCGUAGGUAACCUGCCUGGUAGCGGGGGAUAACUAUUGGAAACGAUAGCUAAUACCGCAUAAUAUUAAUUAUUGCAUGAUAAUUAAUUGAAAGGUGCAAUUGCACCACUACCAGAUGGACCUGCGUUGUAUUAGCUAGUAGGUGAGGUAACGGCUCACCUAGGCGACGAUACAUAGCCGACCUGGGAGGGUGGUCGGCCACCCUGGGACUGGGACACGGCCCAGACUCCUACGGGAGGCAGCAGUAGGGAAUCUUCGGCCAUGGGCGGAAGUCUGACCGAGCAACGCCGCGUGAGUGGAGAAGGUUUUCGGAUCGUAAAGCUCUGUUGUAAGGGAAGAACGGGUGUGAGAGUGGAAAGUUCACACUGUGACGGUAUCUUACCAGAAAGGGACGGCUAACUACGUG
rnacentral:rRNA from 1 species